rnacentral:misc_RNA from 1 species
GAUGAAGAACGUAGCGAAAUGCGAUAAGUAGUGUGAAUUGCAGAAUUCAGUGAAUCAUCGAAUCUUUGAACGCACAUUGCGCCCCUUGGUAUCCCGAGGGGCAUGCCUGUUCGAGCGUCAUUUCACCACUCAAGCCUGGCUUGGGGUUGGGCGACGUCCCCUUUGGGGACGCGCCUCGAAACGCUCGGCGGCGUGGCACCGGCUUUAAGCGUAGCAGAAUCUUUCGCUUUGGAAGUCGGGGCCCCGUCUGCCGGAAGACCUACUCGCAAGGUUGACCUCGGAUCAGGCAGGGAUACCCGCUGAACUUAAGCAUAUCAAUAAGCGGAGGA